AUACAGAUCUCCUGGAGAACUUGUUAAAGUGUAGAUUUUGAGCCAGUAGGUCUGAAAGUCUGCAUUUCUAACAAGAUCCUAGGUGAUGCUGAU
rnacentral:pre_miRNA from 1 species